CGAUUUUCAUUGAAAAACAGUGUGAGUUCGCGAUCACUGGAAUGUACAUAUGUGUACAAUCCGUCCACGGCUUUCCGCACCUCGGCUGUAGCCCAAUCACCCACUCUAGCAUGUACUCGGACAGAACAUAUUCAUUCCCCUUACUUAGGAGCUCGUGAUGCUCAAUAUCUACGAUACGAACAAACUCAGAGCUCAGGAUAACUCGACUAGGACUGUCAUAAGAUCUUGGGUAUCUUUGAGCCCGAUCGCGUAACAAUUCCAUAGCCAAGUCGAUAUG
rnacentral:lncRNA from 1 species